AUGAGAGAUAUGUUUUAUGGUCAUGCUCCGAUGGUCAAUGGUUUAUUCUUAAUGAAUCUCGAGCGUAAUAUUACACAUGUUCAUAGUGUAGAUGCCAAAAGAUGUAAAGUUGAUAACGAUAGUCCCACAUACUUGUGGCACUGCCGCCUUGGUCACAUUGGUGUCAAGCGCAUGAAGAAGCUCCAUGCCGAUGGACUUUUAGAGUCUCUUGAUUAUGAAUCGUUUGACACGUGCGAACCAUGCCUCAUGGGCAAAAUGACCAAGACUCCGUUCUCCGGAACAAUGGAGCGAGCAACCAACUUGUUGGAAAUCAUACAUACCGAUGUGUGCGGUCCAAUGAGCGUUGAGGCUCGCGGAGGAUAUCGUUAUGUUCUCACUCUCACUGAUGACUUAAGUAGAUAUGGGUAUGUCUACUUAAUGAAACACAAGUCUGAGACCUUUGAAAAGUUCAAGGAAUUUCAGAAUGAGGUGGAGAAUCAACGUGACCGAAAGAUAAAGUUCCUACGAUCAGAUCGUGGAGGAGAAUAUUUAAGUCACGAAUUUGGCAUACACUUAAGGAAAUGUGGAAUCGUUUCACAACUCACGCCGCCUGGAACACCUCAACGAAACGGUGUGUCCGAACGUCGUAAUCGCACUCUAUUGGAUAUGGUACGGUCUAUGAUGUCUCUUACCGAUUUACCGCUAUCAUUUUGGGGAUACGCUCUAGAGACAGCUACAUUCACUUUAAAUAGGGCACCGUCUAAAUCCGUAGAGACGACACCGUAUGAAUUAUGGUUUGGGAAGAAACCUAAGCUGUCGUUUCUAAAAGUUUGGGGAUGCGAUGCUUAUGUCAAGAAACUUCAACCUGAAAAGCUCGAACCCAAGUCGGAAAAAUGCGUCUUCAUAGGAUACCCUAAGGAAACUGUCGGGUAUACCUUAUACUUAAGAUCCGAGGGCAAGAUCUUUGUUGCCAAGAACGGAUGCUUUCUGGAAAAAGAGUUUCUCUCGAAAGAAGUAAGUGGGAGGAAAGUAGAACUCGAUGAAGUACUACCUCUCGAACGGGAAAGUGGUGCAGCUCAGGAAAAUGUUCCUAUGAUGCCCACACCAAUCGAAGAGGAAAACAAUGAUGAUGAUCAAGGUACUUCGGAUCAAGUUGCUACUGAACUUCGUAGGUCCACAAGGACACGUUCCGCACUAGAGUGGUACGGCAACCCCGUCCUGGAAAUCAUGUUGUUAGACAACGAUGAACCUUCGAACUAUGAAGAAGCGAUGGCGGGCCCAGAUUCCAACAAAUGGCUUGAAGCCAUGAAAUCCGAGAUAGAAUCCAUGUAUGAAAACAAAGUAUGGAUUUUGACAGACUUGCCCAAUGAUCGGCGAGCGAUAGAAAACAAAUGGAUCUUUAAGAAGAAGACGGACGCGGAUGGCAAUGUCACCAUCUAUAAAGCUCGACUUGUCGCUAAGGGUUAUCGACAAGUUCAAGGGAUUGACUACGACGAGACAUUCUCUCCCGUAGCGAAGCUGAAGUCCGUCCGAAUCAUGUUAGCAAUUGCCGCAUACUAUGAUUAUGAGAUAUGGCAGAUGGACGUCAAAACGGCAUUCCUUAACGGGCAUCUUAAGGAAGAACUGUAUAUGAUGCAGCCAGAAGGUUUUGUCGAUCCUAAGAACGCUAACAAAGUAUGCAAGCUCCAGCGAUCCAUUUAUGGGCUGGUGCAAGCAUCUCGGAGUUGGAAUAUUCGCUUUGAUGAGAUGAUCAAAGCGUUUGGGUUUAUGCAGACUUAUGAAGAAGCCUGCGUUUACAAGAAAGUGAGUGGGAGCUCUGUAGCAUUUCUCAUAUUAUAUGUAGAUGACAUACUCUUGAUGGGAAAUAAUAUAGAAUUUCUGGACAGCAUCAAGGCCUACUUGAACAAAUGUUUUUCAAUGAAGGACCUUGGAGAAGCUGCUUAUAUAUUAGGCAUCAAGAUCUAUAGAGAUAGAUCGAGACGCCUCAUAGGUCUUUCACAAAGCACAUACCUUGAUAAGAUUUUGAAAAAGUUCAAAAUGGAUGAGUCCAAGAAAGGGUUCUUGCCUAUGUUACAAGGUGUGAGAUUGAGCUCGGCUCAGUCACCGACCACGGCAAAAGAUAAAGAAGAGAUGAGUGUCAUCCCCUAUGCUUCAGCCAUAGGAUCUAUUAUGUAUGCCAUGCUGUGUACCAGACCUGAUGUAAACCUUGCCGUAAGUUUGGUAGCAAGAUACCAGAGUAAUCCCGGCAAGGAACACUAG
rnacentral:rRNA from 1 species